UUAAUGCUGAGUCUUGCCUGCCAAGGGCUAUCAGACCCGUCUGCAGCGAUGCUGCUGGUGGGGGCUCACGUGGGAGACAGCGUGGGCUGUAACCUGACUCAUCCCCCUUUGAUUCAUCUCACUUUGCAGCCUGAACAUACGCUGCCAGCUCCCAGGACCCAAGAACCACCAGCUGUCAGAACAGCAUUUUGAGAAGGGCAACAUUUUUCCAGGUGUUCCUUGGACUGUGAUAUGAAGAUUAUUAACGUGGCGACACCAGAUUACACCAUAUCGAGAUGGUAUUUCUGAAGGGUCUAUAGUGUCCUGAAUUCUCUGUGCUAGAGGAGACAGGAUGUUCACGUAACAGCAAAUUGCCAGCUGCAGAUGAUGCUAAAAGGACCUUACCCAACAAUGUCUACGAAUGCUUUCCCAAGAGGCUUCUCCUCGUAUUGGACUCCGUACUUGGCACAUAAGGACUUCACCAAAGGUUUCACCUUCCAGAAAUUGUGCCGUGGCAUUGUUGGAAACAGGCUUGAAUUAGAGAAAGAGAAAACAAACCUGAGAAAACUCCGGAGACUAAUCCCAAGGGAUGGGCAUCUGUCUCUGCAUCCUCACAGGGGCUAAUUAUUAAUGCCUUCUCCUCACUCAAGCCGUGCAAGCAGGCAAAAGAGAGGCACCAAGAGGUAUCUGUGCUUUACAGUCUGUUUCAAGAAGGCUUGUGAAAACUGAAUGCACUGAUUUCCCACCUCUGGAAGCUCACAGAACAGCGAAGCAGAUGUACUGCUCCAAAGAUCCUGCCCCAUCCCACGCCUGCACCUUUGGCAGACUUUCCCUCCCCUUGGGUCUGGUGUUGUGACAACAACAGAAAGAAAUUCUUUCUUGUGAGGGUGGUGAGACACUGGAACAGAUUGCCCAGAGAAGCUGUGGCUGCCCCAUCC